GAGCAGAAAUUAUACACAUCAUGUUACGUCUUGAUAACUGAUGAUUAAAACCAUCCUUAAAAUAUGUAUUGUAGUGUGUAGGUUUACAAAAAUCAAGUACUAUUUCUUUUUGCUGUUUACCUCUGGGUUGACACUGAGUUGGCUUUGAAUUCUGCAGAUUCAUCCAGGGCUUCGACUUGCCAGUCCCAACGGAGCCAAUAGCAUCGCAGCUCUCACCCUCCCAUUCCCUCCGCUAGACCAGAGCUGUUUGCCAUGAAUAAUGACAUGUGUCCAAACUAAAUUGGUGGAGAUAGAGCCCCAAGACCCUUUGAGUUCCAUAUCAAGAGGAGGGAGACGGAGCAAGACUUUGAGCAACUAGAGAAGCAGCUCCAAAGUGUGGAUGCACCCAAUCUGAUGGCUCUUUACCAAUGGCCUGAUGUCCUUGUUCAACUUCAACGACCAUCACGCAGUGCGGGGAUUAGGAAACACAACUGUGUACUCUGUUGUCAACGCUGCAGUCAAGAAAUGGAACAGCAAGGCCACUGACCAUGAUGUUCGGAGAGCUGUGGUAGACCACCUCAAGCAUGCUCCUGGUAGAGUCGGGGGUGAUGGUUUCCACGUCACCACCACACAGGGUCGUUGCUAACGCAGCAAAUAUCUAUAAUUUUGAUCGAUAAUUAUUCAAUUAAUAUAAUUAUAUUAAUUUGAACUUAACUGUAUUUUGUCUUAUCAAUGUACUAGAUAGUAUUAUUUGACUGAAUGUUUUGUGCAAAUACUGGAGUAAUGUAAUGAGUAGUGUG